rnacentral:rRNA from 1 species
CUUAACACUGCAAGUCGAGGAAGCGCUUAAGUUUGAUUCUUCGGAUGAAGACUUUUGUGACUGAGCGGCGGACGGGUGAGUAACGCGUGGGUAACCUGCCUCAUACAGGGGGAUAACAGUUAGAAAUGACUGCUAAUACCGCAUAAGACCACGGUACCGCAUGGUACAGUGGUAAAAACUCCGGUGGUAUGAGAUGGACCCGCGUCUGAUUAGGUAGUUGGUGGGGUAACGGCCUACCAAGCCGACGAUCAGUAGCCGACCUGAGAGGGUGACCGGCCACAUUGGGACUGAGACACGGCCCAGACUCCUACGGGAGGCAGCAGUGGGGAAUAUUGCACAAUGGAGGAAACUCUGAUGCAGCGACGCCGCGUGAAGGAUGAAGUAUUUCGGUAUGUAAACUUCUAUCAGCAGGGAAGAAAAUGACGGUACCUGACUAAGAAGCCCCGGCUAACUACGUGCCAGCAGCCGCGGUAAUA